CAAUGUUGAUCGUGUUUAUGACGUCGAAUAUCGACGUCAUAAACACCAAAGUUGAUCGUGUUUAUGACGUCGAAUAUCGACGUCAUAAACACCAAAG